rnacentral:lncRNA from 1 species
AUAUUUUAAAUAUUGUUUUAAAAAAUAAGUUCAUGUAGAAGAAGUACCUGUCCUAAUCUUUCUAUUUUUAAUUUAUUUUGUAUUUCUAGGUAUUUCUAUGUUGUCUUCUAGAGCGGGUAGUCCUGCUUCUUUUAUCCAGCCACUUUCCCUACUGAAAUAUGGAUACCUUUCUACACAUUACCUCCAUGGUUUAGAUUGGAAAAGAUUGCUUUUCUUUUGUUCCAUCUUUCAAAUUCAACACAGAAAGAAGCCCUUAGGGUGCAGUUAUCCUGCUGACUUCUCCCGGAAGAAAAAAAGCAAUUGAUGGGUCUUCUGCAAUUUGCUUAAUUAUCAAAAAAUUAUUUUGCAAGCUGAAGGCUGACGUUUAAUUUGAAACAGGUGCUUAGGUUGUGGUAUUUGUGAAUUCUUAGCCUUUUGCUCCAAACAAGAAGACUAAUAAAUGGCAAGUAUGGAUGACUUCAGGUUUUUUAAAAAAAUGUCUUCCAGUUUCGGCCACUAUUAUGAUAAGCACAUUUGAGACUGCAGCAGUAAAUUCCAAAUAUUUGUUGUAAUUUGAAAAGAAAAAGAUGUUAAAAAGUUACAUAUAUCUCUAUAUCCUGGUUCAUCUUGUGACAGAUUUACUGGAUAGAAAUGAAGGUCCAGUUUUGCAGUUAACCCUUUGGUGUGAUAAAGAAGCAUAAAGACAAGAUAUCAAGAUUGAUUUCAUAUCUGAUACCUAAAGAGAAUCUGUACAAAUACAUAUUUUUACAUGUGUAAAUCCACAUUUUUGGAUGAAAGGAGGGGUUUUUCUCCUGGAGACAGAACCUGUUAUUUACUUUUUCAAGUCUUGGAACAUUUGCUCUUUUUAAAUUUUUUCAUUCUUCUACAGAAGGACCAGAUUGUGUAGCAGCUAAGUGAGUGCAUGCUUACAUUUAGUUAAAAGAAUGGUAAAAGCGAACAACCCAGUUUGAGUCCAUGAUGGAACCCUGUUCACCUUCCUAAGAUGAGAGGCUGCUGUAUUACAGUUUUAUUCAUCCUGUUUUCUGGAGUCAUAUAGCACAGUAGAGUUAGUUUUCCGUGUGGCCAAAACUGGAAUAAAAGUAGCACGAGUAGUUUUUUAGAUAAGAAGGUGAGAUGGACCCUAUAGUAUGACCUGCUUUGAACUUUGGACAUAGAAGAGAAGAAAAAGAUAAUGAGAAGUUUCCAUAUAACUCCUUUUUCCUAAGAAAAAGAAAAAUGUCUUAUGUAGCACCAUUUGACUUUUUUGGAAUUUUACAUUACAUAGUUCCAUUUUUUAUAAAGUCACAAGUAACUCUUUUCUCAACCCAGAUGGGUACUUGGAUUUAUUUUUCUAGGUGGUAGGUGUAAUGUUAAACUGAAAAGGCUGGGACUCAGGUAAAUUUCCCCAGUUGGAAUUGGACUUUCUCGUUACCGAGUGGGUCUAUCUCAGAACCAAUGUUGUCAAUCCACUGGUUUCAUUGUAGAUUUAGAAGAAAUUCAGGAUCUGAAAAAAAAAACCUCAAAUAAGAAAAAUAGUUCCACUAAGAAAUGUGGAUUUUGUGUUUCGUUCAUUAUAGAUUGAGAAGAAAUUCAGGGUUUGGGGAAAAAGAAAACAAAAACAAGAAAUAUGGAUCUUCCUUCUUUUUUUCCCCUUUAACAGUUAUAUGAUGAAGACUAGAGUGGAAAACUGUUCUUGCUUUCAAACAAACAGGAGCAUUGUAUGAUAUCAAGCCUUUCAUAAGAAGCAUGGACACUUUAUUAAUGAUUCUUAGUAGAGAAAGAAUUUUAAACUUACUAGAUGAAAUUAAGAACAGGUAGUAUAAUUAGAUCAUCUUUGUUUUCUGGAAUGGUUGCUGAGGGCCAUGGGUGCGAUGAUGUUGGGAACACAGGGCAGAUUUACCAAAAAUUGAGAGUGAUAGAAAUUGCCAAAAUGGGAAAUGUUGAGCAUUGUUAUGAUUAGAUUGGUGAACUAAUUUGAUUUAGAAUAAAAAAGCUUUUUCACAAAAUACAUAGUGUAGAUAAAAUAUAUAUAUAUAUAUAAUUUUUUAAAAAUUUCUUUUAAUGUAGAGCAUUUACUGAGAGAGAUAAGAGAAAUAACUUUGGUUAAAGGUAACUUAGAUUUUUCUUUAAAUAACCCCUUAUGCCACUUCUUGAUAUUUUCCUUUACUAUUUUGGACUUGUUAAAGACUGAAAGCCUAUAUACAUAUAUCCCACUGUUAUGUUGGGAAUGUCAUCAUGGAGAAUUUGUACCUUCUAGGUGUCAUAUCCAUCUCCCCCAUGUCUUCUUGGCAACUUUUUGGGUAGGGUCAUGGGGCAAGGGAUAUAAGCACCAGUGGAACAACUCUGAUCCACUUGUUUGAACAGGUGUCAGACCUGCCUCCUUCAGCAUUUUUUCAACUUAUAACUGAGAACCAGUGUUAAUGAUAUCUUUCAAAGGAAAUGUUUCCACAUCUUACAUGAUUGACAUUAGAUGACGUUUAACAACAUGGGCAUAUUCCAGUUGUAGUUGCCCAGUAUUUACUUAAUACAUUUGCAUUUUUCUCUGGUCUGUUGGUCCCUUUCUUGAUGGCAAAAACUUAAUUUUAGAAAUGCUUCAAUCUGCAUUUGUGCUUCCUUUGCUUUGCUCAUCCAUGUUAGCUGGCAGUUUAUCCUUUGAAAAGUCAAACAAAAACGGGAUAUGUGCAAUAGAAAUAUAUAUAUGUAUAUUUUAAUACUUGUGGACAAAUGUUACAAGUUGUUUAAGAACAACAAAAUCACCAAUGUCUUCCAUUUUGAGAUGUGUAUAGUUUUGUAAGCAUUAGUGCUUGGUAGCAUAUUAUAGUGCCAUGUUAGGGGUUAGUGCAUGAUCCUAGUAAUAAUUUUAAACUUCAGGAUGAGUUAUUGAUAAUAACCAAUAGUGUAAAAAGAGUUGAAACUCUAUAUAAGACUUUUUUUUUCUUCCCAUAAAUACCUGAAUCUGUGAUAUUCUCCCUGGGGAAAGGAGAUUAAGGACAAAAACAAUUGUUUAUGAAUAGAAAUGUGGGUUCACCAUUAGAAACAUCGUAUUUGAGGACAUAAAUGCUUUCCAUGAGCUGGCUAGAAACAGCUAGCCUUGUAUCUCACAAAACCUCAAGUCAAAAUGAGGCCCCAUUUUCAUGAUUCUGUGUUGCUGUUAAUUUGAGGUCAAUUUGUUCUUAUACUGUUUUCAUAUUAUGUCUUGGGUUCAUUCUUACUCCUUUUGCAUCUACAAAUAGUUUUACAUUCUGCAUGUCCUACUAAGAUGCUGUAAUUGCUUCAUUGAGUGCUUAUAUAAUCUGCAGACUAUUUGCUAAUCCUGUCAGCAGCAUGUGUGUUAAUGCAAGAAUAAUAUCAAUGGUUUGGGAGUGUCCUAGAUUGUUUCAGCCUCUUCUAUUUCUGAAUCUGCUAAAUUGUGUACUGAUGGGAUUCCAGACCUUUUCAUGAGCAUUGGAAACAUAGUUAAAUGGAGCUUACCUACGUUGCCAUAUAAUAAUAAGUGGACUCUUGCCCUUGGUUACAGUAAGCCACAGAUAACUUUCCCUUUUUUCUGUUUUCCCUUAUAGAAAUAAAACAGUCAUUUUUGUUUUGAAAGCAAAAGAUAGUUUUUUGUAAAAAGAAAUUCCUACCUCUAAUCGUCGUCUUGAGAACUGGGAAUUGUUAGUUUUCUGAAGUGUUUUUCAAAUCUCAGUACUAAGAGUCCACGAUUUAUUAGCACAGAUUCUACAUUAGAAAGCUAGGAAAUGCAAAACUGUUCUAAUGUGGUGCAUCCUCAUGAACAAGCAAUCUAUAAUAAGUAGAUUUUAGUAGUAAAUCUCUGGAGGACCCAGGUUUAGAUCCCUAUAGUGUACUUAAAGUUUUGUGCCUGGGAAGAUCCAUUUCUGAAAAGAAUUUAAAAUUUAAAACUCUGAAAAAGGUAAUGAAUAUAAAACAGCACAGUGUAUAGGAAAGGAAAUUUCUGUUGCAAAAAUUUUUAAAAAGCCAUAAAAUGAACUAAUAAUUUUCAAGAGGUAGACUUUUAGCAGCAAUAACGGUUUUGCAUGUAUAAUACACUGCAUUUGCUGUACAGUAGACUAAGUGAUUACUACUUGAGUUUGUGGGGCUCUGUGAUCAACAGAGUUAACAAAAUGAAAAAGAUGAUCUAGGUACAGAGCAUAUAAAAGGUACUUUCUUUUAAUUAAAACAGUAUGAAUGUAUGACUAUAUCUGUAUGAGAAAUAACUUUUGUGUAUGUUUCAAGGUUAAAGACCCUAUUUGUUUCUUAAAGCAGAGGGUUGGAGUUAUUGAAGUGAAAUCCUUCUAGUGUUUAAUAUGGAAACAAAUGCACUCUACAGCCCCAGUGAAGUCAAGGUGGGGUUUUUGCUUUGGUUUUUCCAUGUUACAAUAGGUAUUCACUGUAUAGAAUGGUAUUCUCUUCUGCUUUGUCACCUUUCUCUUUUGGCUUCCUGGGUACAUUUUUAAAGAGGAAAAGUGUGUGUGUGUGUGUGAGAGAGAGAGAGAGAGAUUAGAGUUUAAAAAAAUUUUUAAAAGCCAAUAACUUGUUUAGCUUGCUUUUCCUCAUGUUUAUGAUUAAGGAAGUUAUGAUUUAAAGGUAAGAAGCAGGAGGACUGGGGAAUAGCCAAAGACUAUUGGUUUUGUGAUACCUUGUUUAAUGCAGUUGUGACAAUGCCUGUGGCCUUUGACUACUUAUUUUAAGGAGAACCUAGCAAACUACUUUCCUGAUCUGAGGAAUUGCACAACUCACUUCAGGAUGUAACAGUGAAACUAGGGUGACUUCUUACUUACUUUACCUCAUGUCCAAGCUUGGCCAUUUAGCACCUUGAAGGUCCCUGAAAAGGUCUGUGUACCUUUGUUUUCCUGGGGCAGGGGGACUAAAAGAUAAGCAUUAUAGAUUUCGGAAUCACUUGAAUCUUUAAUUCUUAUAUGGCAACUCCAAUGGACAAGGAAGGGCUAUAUUGAUUGUAGCUUCUCUUUAAAUGUCCUAUACUGUCAGUCCAUGUUAGACAUUGGAACAGUCAAGCAAUAUUCAGACAUCUGCAUGAUCAUGAGGACAUGGCUACUAAUUACAUUGAUGUCAACACUUAUUUCAAACAGCUAAAGAUUAUCCUUAACAACCAUGUUGUUAAUAGUUCUAACUGCUAAAGUAUGCUACAAGUUUUUGUAGUCUCAAAGUAUGUGGUUAAAUGCUUUUCAAAGUUAUUGUAGUCUCAUGUUUACUCUUAUGUACCUGUCAUAUGCAAAAUAUGAAGAGACCCUUGGCCUUCAGGAGUUUACAUUCUCAUGGUGCUGUUGGUGCAAGCAAAUUGCUUCUAGUUUUUUCAGAACAUUGCUUGGCUAUUAAUUAUACAAUUUGGAAGAAUCCCUUGGCUAAUAGUUUUUAAAAGCAGAGGGCUAUGCUAAAUUUCAGGGCACUGAUGCUUGAGUUUACAUUGUAUUAGCUCUGCCCUUCAACUACUUUUCCCCAGGGAGCUGUACAGGUAAUGCUCAUUAAUGUGAAUCAGAAAAGAAACUAUUCUGCCCAAGAGCUUCUUCAUCAUCCCAUAUACUACAUGUUUUUCUAUGAUAUGGCUGUCAAUAAAUGGCCAAGAAAACUUACUGCUACAUAAGACUGUGCAUCUCUUAAUUCUCUUUUCUUUAUCUAAGGGUUUUACAUGGUUCUUUAUCCAAAAGGGCCAGGAUUUACAUAUAAGCCUUUUAUAACUGAAGUGGUCCUAAUUUUAAACUUUUUGUGUAUGCUUAGACUUCUUUUUUGAAGUAGCAUUGUGAAGAUUUGGAGCACCUGCUUGCAUUUCUAAGCAAUUACUUUAUUAACUCAAAUUUUCAGUUGAAAUUUUGCAUGUCUCCUUGUUAUUUUCCAUAAUUCUUCUGAAUCAAGGGUUUUACUCUGCAUGUUUAUUAAAGCUGGGUCUGAUUGAAAGUAUAAGCAAUAGUGGUGGGUCCAUACUGAUUUUAGAAUACUAAUAUUCUAAUGCAUGACUGAAAUUUUUCAGUGUUAUGUGGUUAUUAUUAGUAAUUUUAUAUAUGCAUUUAAUAAUGAAGCAAUAGAUACUUAAACCAAUAGCUUGAAUUUAUUGAAUUAUUAGUUUUAAUUUUCUAAUUAAAAUUAUCUUACUUCCAUUCAAAAUGGGAAGUCAAAGAUAAACAGGGGCACCCACAAGACAUUCAAACUGUCAGGAUUAGGACAUAACAUUGCUUACCCUCACCUCUUUCCUAGUCCCAAUAGACCCCCCCCAAGCAUGUUUGAAAACAAGACACAAACUAAGCAUGUUGAAUGAGCUGCAGUGGCUAUAAUAAUCAGAAAGGUGCAGAGUUUCAGAAAGGAUAGCAACGUAGGGAAUUAGUGUGCAGUCUGUAAAGGUAUGGGGUUUGUCUGAUAAGGUUUAUGUAGACCUGUUUGGGGUUUCUUAAAACUAGUUAUUGAGUCAGGCAUGGUGGCACGCCCCUGUAAUCCCAGCUGCUCAGGAGGCUGAGGCAGGAGGAUCACAAAUUCAAUUUCAGACUCAACAAUUUGACUAGACCCUAUCAAAAAAAUAAAAAGGGCUGGGGAUGUGGUAAAGUGCCUCUGGGUUCAAUCUCCAGUAUUCACCCCUCCUGGGAGGGGAGAAAAACUAGUAUCUUGAGCCAAGUGUUGUGGCACAUACCUGACUUCCAACUACUUAGGAGACUAAGGGGAGGAAAUUACUUGAGCUCGGGAUUUUGAGGCCCACGUGGGCACCAUAGUGAAAUCACAUCACAAAAAGUAAUAUACGCAUAUUUUAGAUGUUUUAAGCAACUGUUCUGGAUGAUACUGAUCAGCUAUAAGGGAUCCUGCAAGGGAGACAUUCAUCUAUAAAGUUAUGAAAUUGCUGAUAUGUAGUUUCUUGUUACUGUAUUCAAAACUUUUUUAUUAAUAACCAGAGUUUUAUGCCUGACUUGGUGAGAAUGCAGUUUCUUCCCUAAGAGUUUUUGAUCCCAGGUACACAGGUGAAAACUUUUCUCUUUCAAAAAUAAUGAUAAUCUUGACAUUUAUUUUAUGAAAAAACAUCAGCUUAUUGUGGUAGCAUAAGGGCUGGGGGUGUAGCACAGUGGUGGAGUGCUUUCCUAACACGCAAGGCCCUGGGUUGCAAAAGAAAACAAGAACCUAGAAGUAGUAACCCUAGUGAUUAUAAGAAAUAAUGUACAAAUGUAAUUCAUAAUGUCUGAAAGAAGCCUAAAUAGAGAAUUCAGGAUAAGACUACAUGAUUUUCAUUAGGCUCUUCCAGGUUUCAUGUUCUAUGAUUGAAAUCAACUUCGUAUUUGCUUCAGGACUUUGCUACAUAUAUCUUUGGGAUGUAUUAAAUGGAAUGGUGAUUUCAGUGGUUCAGAAUUUAUUUAGGUUUGUCAUUAAGAUGUUUGCUUUCUACAGAAAUAUAGAAAGUGAGGUGUAUCCCGUAUGUAAAUGUUCUUUGCCACUUACAGAUAACAUGUCUGCCAAUCAAUAAAGAUUUAAGGUCUAGACUCUCCCUGUUAUUCACUAAGCAUAUUUAGAUUAUUUGGAAAAUGAAAAUUCAAACGAAAUUUCUCCAGAAACUAAAUUUUACUCAUUUAAAAGAAUAGUUGGCUUAUGAUUAUGAUUUUCAAAAUGUUUUUCUCCUAUGGUGUGGCGUGUCAUCAAUUAAAAUACAUUUUAGGGUUGGUGUGUAGCUCAAUGGUAGAUCACCUGGCUAGCAUGCCUGAGUACCUGGGUCCAAUCCCCAGAAUCUCAAAAAAAAUUUUUUUUUCUUUAUCCCAAGGGUCAGGAAGAUAUUCUGGCAGUUAUCUCAAUCUUUAAACAGUUCAGUCUUGGAGUUUAUUUUAAAACCACAUACUCAUCUUCAUAAUAAAAUAUUCAGGAUAUUAAGUGUAUAUUAUCAAUAAUUUAUUUACUGUCCCCUAAGUACAGGACUUGACCACUAUAUUUAUGUGCUAUUCUACAUAUUCCAUUGUACCAUUGGUCUAUAAGAUGUUAAAAGAAUUUUAUUGAAUAUUUGAAGUAUUACAAAAGGCAGCUUGCUUUUUAAUCUAUGCAUCUUUGGGAGUUUUGAAGAAGAUAUUUAUUCCUUGAUGUAAAAAGGAACUGUUUUAAGAGUUGGAAACUCUGCACCUGUGUAUAUGUAUAUUUUUAGCAAUAAAGCAGCAUGGGCUGAGAAUGCACUGAAAUUUCAUUGUGUUAUCUGUUAUUUGAAAGGGAAAUUUUCAUUUAAUGCUAUAAAUUGUGAUGGUAAAAGCAGCCUUUCCUAGGCCUAUGCUGACAUUGGCUUUUAGUGUCAAAGGACAAAGGAUCUGGGGUUCUUGACGCUUUGUGACACUAAAUUGUGACAGUUUCUGGUACAUGUUGUCCAGUGGAACAGUAGCCAUCAGGAGAAAUAUCAUUUUUGAACUUAAACAGUUCCUGUUUUACCUUCAGGGUCAACAUUGUUACAUCUAUGAACAAAUAAAUGCUUAGUUCUGGU